UAUUAAUAGUUGUCUCUCUGCCUCUGGCUGCUGCAGCAGCUGUGUGCCUUUGUGUGUGUGUGACUGUCCCGCUCGCUCCGGCUCGGCUGUCGGGCCUCGUGCGGCGGCGAGUCAACUCGGUCUUUCAGUCAACUCGUUCACCGUCUGGAUCUUUCGUUCACUCGGUCUCUCGUUCAACUCGUUCAUCCGUCUGGAUCUUUCGUUCACUCGGUCUCUCGUUCAACUCGUUCAUCCGUCUGGAUCUUUCGUUCACUCGGUCUUUCGUUCAACUCGUUCAUCGGUCUGGGUCUUUCGUUCAACUCGGUCUUUCGUUCACUCGGUCUUUCGUUCAACUCGUUCAUCCGUCUGGAUCUUUCGUUCAACUCGGUCUUUCGUUCACUCGGUCUUUCGUUCAACUCGUUCAUCCGUCUGGAUCUUUCGUUCACUCGGUCUUUCGUUCAACUCGGUCUUUCGUUCAUUUGACCCGUUCUUUCAGUCAACUAGGUCUUUCGUUCAUUUGACCCGUUC